CUCAAGGGGAUCCCACUCGUUGAAGCCACAGAGAUCGACAACAGACUGCUCCAGGUCGUAGUUGUUCUGCCUCAGUAUCUGCUUGUUCAGGUCAGCCUGCAUGAAACCCAGUACCUCAAGCUCACUCAUCAUCUUCUCCUCCAGCAGGUGGUUGACGACUUCCUCAGCCAAAGGGGCAGCAGGUGCUGCUGCAACCACAGGCAUGCUAACAGGAGCAGCAACAGGUGCAGGUGCGGAUGCACUAACAGGUGCAGGCACAGGCACAGGUUUGGGCAGGAGAAUUGCUUCAGGUGCAGGCACAGCAGCAGGCAUCGAAGCCAAUGCAGCCUCGGCAGAUGAGGCAGGAGCAUCAGUAACUGGGAUUUGCGCCGGUUCAACUGCUGCUGGGGCAGAG
rnacentral:lncRNA from 1 species